CCACCACCUCGUAGUGACGUGACACAAAGAGGUUUCCUCUCUAGAAACCUGCCGCCCCCUUCCAGGGUUGGGGGUAGCCAAGGGAGACCAGGGAGGACCUCCCAGCAACGCUUCCCUGAAGACAUCCACGCUGUGUGACCUGAGAAAAGUGGCUCAACUUCUCUGGAGAGGAAACCUUCAGAGGGGUCAGAUCACCUGGAAACUCCCCCUGGGGCUGGGAUCUCUUUUGGGGUUCCCUUCCUUGGUGAAUGACAGCAGGAACAGCUGAAGUCAUCCUUGACUCCUCAUCUCCAACAACCAGCCGUGGUGUCUUUACUCACCAGCAUACUCUCUGCACCACGCGCAAUGGCUAGCAAAUGGUAGAUGCUCCAUAAUAUUUAUUGAAAUCACUCGUUUCCUGAGCAAAUACUCAUGAAUGCCACUAUAAACAAAUAAAUGUAA